rnacentral:misc_RNA from 1 species
GAUGAAGAACGUAGCGAAAUGCGAUAAGUAAUGUGAAUUGCAGAAUUCAGUGAAUCAUCGAAUCUUUGAACGCACAUUGCGCCCGCCAGUAUUCUGGCGGGCAUGCCUGUUCGAGCGUCAUUUCAACCAUCAAGCCCCAGGCUUGUGUUGGGGACCUGCGGCUGCCGCAGGCUCCGAAAACCAGUGGCGGGCUCGCUGUCACACCGGGCGUAGUAGAUUUUAUCUCGCUCAGGGCGUGCUGCGGGUUCCGGCCGUUAAAAAGCCUUUUUUACCCAAGGUUGACCUCGGAUCAGGUAGGAAGACCCGCUGAACUUAAGCAUAUCAAUAAGCGGAGGA